CCAGCAGGCGCUUUCUCAACUAACCACUAGAGGGCGAGUGGCGGUGCAGUACAUGCCACCGUCUGUCUGCUUUUGGAGUGGGGCGCAGGAAAACGGUUGGUGAGCAGUGGUUGAUACAGCUAAUAAUUAGCCACGGGCUGUUCAUCUGUGCCAUUUAUACUCACCUGCAGACACAAAGAGGAUUCCUGCACUGAGGAUGAUAUUGUGACGGGACUUGUAGAACUCGCUGGCAGCUAUACACAGGCCACCCAUGAAGAGCAGGAUGACGCUGAGGAUGGGGAAGAUACUAGAUGCUCGUACGGCUCCUACAGAUGGAGAGAGAGAGAAGAUCUCCGAUCACUGUACUUUAACUUGGAACACAGUUGGUGACCAAGGUACUACAGAACAGAUGCCUGAGAGGAUAAGACAUGCAAGGAGAAGAGAAGUAGGAAGAAGAGGAGAAAAAGUGAGAGAGACAGAAAGCUGACCUAUAUAAGAAAGAGGCUGAAAUAUUUAUGGAAGUAAGUGUCCUAAUUCACAAGCCACUGGGAGCGUUGUGGCCUAUUCGUCCAAUCGCAGCUCAGGAAAAGGACAAACACACAUGCAUUCAUAUAUGUGCGCACACACACUUCAAGCGUGAGGUUUGUGGUAGAUCUCUGUCCAGGCUAGUCCACUAGUCCCAGUGUCGGAGCCUUUCUCUGGGUGUCAUUCUUUGAGGAGUUUGAACUUGUUAUCAUAGCUGUCUUUAUUGCUGCGUAUGCGACAGCACAAGUGCUCAAAACACCAAGACCCACUGGCAAGGCUUUAUCUGUGGAGUUUGCAUGCAGUGUAACCGGCUCGGCACCCACCUAGCAGCCUAAAGUGUUCAUAACGCUUGGACAGAUCUGACUCAGUCACAGACUAAGGCCUGGGUGCUCAGAGAGUGAAUGCAUCAUUAUGACAGUGUCAAUUAACGAUGAACCGCAAUGGGGUCAGUGAUGCCGCAUAACUGCAUAACCUGCGCUGUGAAGGAUAAGCCUGAUUCCUUAGCUGUGAUUCUAAGACUUUGGGCUGAACAUAUUACUGAUAAAUGUUACAGUCUGAGCUGAUUAAAGUAAGUAACAGUUGAAAAUGUUGUGUUAUAUGCUGAUUUGGAUCAGUUAGUUGUCAUUCAGUGAAACAGAGCACAAGAAUAUAGCAUAAAGUGCAAGUUUAUCAAGUGUUUUACUUGACACAGCGUUUUAAAAACAUGGUGCAAAAAUGUGUCACAACAGUCAUGUUUAGUUAUUCAUUGUCCAUGUUUUAGUUUGUUGUUACAGAA